AGGAAUAUUGGACAAUGGAUGGAAAUCUGAUCCAGCCAUGCCGCGUGCAGGAAGACGGCCCUAUGGGUUGUAAACUGCUUUUAUAUGGGAGCAAAUAAGGCCUACGAGUAGGUUGAUGAGAGUACCAUAUGAAUAAGCACCGGCUAACUCCGUGCC
rnacentral:rRNA from 1 species